rnacentral:rRNA from 1 species
CACGGUGGGAGCAAGCGUUGUUCGGAAUCACUGGGCGUAAAGGGCGUGUAGGCGGUCAAGUAAGUGGGAUGUGAAAUGCCCCGGCUCACCCGGGGACCUGCAUCCCAAACUGCUUGGCUUGAGUAUGGGAGAGGAUGAGGGAAUUCCUGGUGUAGCGGUGAAAUGCGUAGAUAUCAGGAGGAACACCGGUGGCGAAGGCGCUCAUCUGGCCCAAUACUGACGCUGAGGCGCGAAAGCUAGGGGAGCAAACGGG